CAGGAUGAACGCUAGCGACAGGCUUAACACAUGCAAGUCGAGGGGCAGCAUAAAAGUAGCAAUACUUGGUGGCGACCGGCGCACGGGUGAGUAACGCGUAUGCAACCUACCUAUCAGAGGGGAAUAACCCGGCGAAAGUCGGACUAAUACCGCAUAAAACAGGGGCACCGCAUGGUGAUAUUUGUUAAAGAAAUUCGCUGAUAGAUGGGCAUGCGUUCCAUUAGGUAGUUGGUGAGGUAACGGCUCACCAAGCCGACGAUGGAUAGGGGAACUGAGAGGUUGGUCCCCCACACUGGUACUGAGACACGGACCAGACUCCUACGGGAGGCAGCAGUGAGGAAUAUUGGUCAAUGGGCGGGAGCCUGAACCAGCCAAGUCGCGUGAAAGGAAGAAGGAUCUAUGGUUCGUAAACUUCUUUUGCAGGGGAAUAAAGUGCAGGACGUGUCCUGUUUUGUAUGUACCCUGAGAAUAAGGAUCGGCUAACUCCGUGCCAGCAGCAGC
rnacentral:rRNA from 1 species